rnacentral:siRNA from 1 species
AUUUCGUGAUUUACUGGCGUCCUC